AUAAGCAAUUAUACAGCGAAACUGCGAAUGGCUCAUUAUAUAAGUUAUCGUUUAUUUGAUAGUACCUUACUACUUGGAUAACCGUGGUAAUUCUAGAGCUAAUACAUGCUAAAAAUCCCGACUUCGGAAGGGAUGUGUUUAUUAGAUUAAAAACCAAUGCCCUCCGGGGCUCCUUGGUGAUUCAUGAUAACUAUUCGAAUCGCAUGGCCUUGCGCCGGCGAUGGUUCAUUCAAAUUUCUUCCCUAUCAACUUUCGAUGUUUGGGUAUUGGCCAAACAUGGUUGCAACGGGUAACGGAGGGUUAGGGCUCGACCCCGGAGAAGGAGCCUGAGAAACGGCUACUACAUCCAAGGAAGGCAGCAGGCGCGCAAAUUACCCAAUCCCGACACGGGGAGGUAGUGACAAUAAAUACUGAUACAGGGCUCUUUUGGGUCUUGUGAUUGGAAUGAGUACAAUUUAAAUCUCUUAACGAGGAACAAUUGGAGGGCAAGUCUGGUGCCAGCAGCCGCGGUAAUUCCAGCU
rnacentral:rRNA from 1 species